AUAUCUGCCUCGGGGCCCGGGAUAGCGGCGGGAAACUGCCGGUAAUACCGGAUAACAUCUCCGGAUCAAAGGUGUGAUUCCGCCUCGAGAUGAGUCUGCGUCCUAUUAAUGCUUGUUGGUGUGGUAACGGCGCACCAAGUCGAAGAUGGGUACCGGGUGUGAGAGCAUGGCCCGGCUCACUGGGACUGAGACACUGCCCAGACACCUACGGGUGGCUGCAGUCGAGAAUCUUCGGCAAUGGGCGAAAGCCUGACCGAGCGACGCCGCGUGCGGGAUGAAGGCCCUCGGGUUGUAAACCGCUGUCAGUAGGGAGCAAAUCU
rnacentral:rRNA from 1 species